rnacentral:rRNA from 1 species
UACGAAGGGGGCUAGCGUUGCUCGGAGUCACUGGGCGUAAAGGGUGCGUAGGCGGGUCUUUAAGUCAGGGGUGAAAUCCUGGAGCUCAACUCCAGAACUGCCUUUGAUACUGAGGAUCUUGAGUUCGGGAGAGGUGAGUGGAACUGCGAGUGUAGAGGUGAAAUUCGUGGAUAUUCGCAAGAACACCAGUGGCGAAGGCGGCUCACUGGCCCGGUACUGACGCUGAGGUGCGAAAGCGUGGGGAGCAAACAGG